ensembl:lncRNA
AUUAGAAUUCAUUAAUUAAUAUUAAUAUUUAAUUAACAUUAAAGGAUGGUUUUAGAAUAUAAAGAAAAGAAUGUUAGUCAAUGUGCCUUGUACCACUUACCAUAAACAUUAAUUAGGCUAUAGCAAAAUUGUAUAUACCUUUAGAAUUCCUCCCCUUCCAUUAGGUAUAAUGCUGAUUUCCCCCCCUCAAAUUUAAUCAACAUACAGGAGUAAAUUUGAACAUAUGAGAUACAUUGUGAAUGGAAAUAUUAUUCUUGUGUAUCUUGGGGUCUAACACUAAGAUAAAAAGAAUUUUUAAGGGGCGUAUCAAUUAAUGUCAAAAGACUGAUCAAGAAAACUAAUUUUUCUAAAUAAAAUUAACACACCACUGUACUUUGAAAUUAUUUAUAUUUUGUUGCCCAUGCACUUAAAUUUUUUUUUAAUUUUUUUCAAGUAAAGAUCGAAUAUUUUCUUGUUCAAGAAGCUUGUUGAUAGCUUUUAAUCUUCUCUGUGAAAAAAUGAUGCAAAGAAGAGUCCAGAACCUCGAUUUAUUUUCUUGUCAAAUAGACAAAGGUGACAACGAACUGGGGCUUUGUACUUGUAUCUUCUUUGAUCCAGCAGAUGAGGAUGGAAAGGAACCAGGGGUUUUUAUAACUGAAAUUAUUGAAGGAGGUGCAGUUCACAAACUUGGAUGUAUCCGUGUAUUUGACCAGAUUAUUAAAAUAGGUGACAUCAAUCUAAUUGGAUUGGAUGAAGCAGAAAUCGUCUCUACUUUUAAAAAAAUGGACGAUUCUCCUUUCCAGAUUGAAAUUGGCCGCGAACCACCUGAAGUGAAGUCAGAACUUAUCGAACUCCUUGAGUUGUCAGAGGAAAGGAAGAAAUAUUUUAUGGAUUCGCUCAUAGUACAGGAAAAAAUUGGAGAUAUCACUAUUGUGAGAGGACAAGCAAGUAUUUGUAGAAGUCCAAGAGUACCAUGGUUCUGGAUGGCCAGUGACCUGAAAUUUGUUAUUGGGGUACUGAAAACAUUAAUAGAAGAAGAUCAGGGAUGUAGAAAAGACAUCCAAGCUAUCUUUGAGCUGGCUAACAUUUUUCAAGACAAUUAUAAAGACAUUAACACAUACAAUGUGAAUAUGGAACAGAAACCUGAUGAAUCAGAUAAAGAAGGCACAUUUUUACCAUUGGCCCCAGAAGAAGAAUUUUUACUAGGACAAUUUAAAAUAAAGCCUAAAGAGAUAAAAAAUGAAGAUUUAUCACCAGGGCAAUUAUUAGCCCAAGGGGAUUUCAAUUCAGAUGAGAAAAAUGAGGCUCAGAGAAGAUAUUCAGAUAGUUACCUUCCCAGCUGUGACUUCAUGGCUUCUGGCUCUAAAAUGAAGAACAUAGAGACCCCAAUAAAAAAAGAAAAAGAAGAAGAAGAAAUAGUAGUGGAGGAAGAGAUUAUUAGCACUGGAAAACCUACAGAGGGAAAGGCUAAAAAGAGAUUUUCCUGGUUCCGCAAUAUCAAAGAACGCAAGCUGUGGAACUUCUUUCAUUUUAAAAAACAUGACAAACAAGUAAAGAAUGUGCACAAGUGGGAAGAAAUUGAUCAAGAGGUAUUGGAAGAUUACUCUCCUUAUUCUACUGAAGCCCCUAAAACAUUGCCAACAGAGUGGACAAAUAUUGAAGUUGGUAAUUGGUUAUGGAGCAUUGGAAUGGAGGAGUAUGUUGUAAAAUUUUAUUGUAAAGGAAUAAGUGGUGAAAAACUCCUUACACUGGACAAUCGCUCGCUAAAAGAAAUCGAAGUCAACAAGAAGAAAGACCGCCGGAAAAUACUUAAGGCUAUUAAGAAAGUUAGAGAUUUUUGGGAAAAAAAUCAUCAUUUCGUCUUAUUAUAGAAAUUGAUGGAAAGAAGACACAGAACCUGAAAGAUGGCAAAAAUGGAAAAUGCAAUUACUUUUGUUAUAUUGACUUUUCAUCAUUUUACUUCUGUUACUUUUGUUAUAUGAACUUUUAAGGGAUUUUACUUCCAUGUUACUUUUGUUAUAUGAACUUUUAAGGGAUUUUAGUUCCAUGUUACUUUUGUUAUAUGAACUUUUAAUCAUUUUAUUACUGUUACUUUUUUUAUUAUUAACUUUUAAUUAUUUCACUUUCAUGUUACAUUUGUUAUAUGAACUUUUAAGGGAUUUUACUUCCAUGUUAUUUUUGUUAUUAUUAACUUUUAAUCAUUUCACUUCCAUGUUACUUUUGUUAUAUGAACUUUUAAGUGAUUUUACUUCCAUGUUACUUUUGAUAUAUGAACUUUUAAGGGAUUUUACUUCCAUGUUACUUUUGUUAUAUGAACUUUUAAUCAUUUCACUUCCAUGUUACUUUUGUUAUAUAGAACUUUUAAGGGAUUUUACUUCCAUGUUAAUUUUGUUAUAUGAACUUUUAAUCAUUUUAUUACUGUUACUUUUGUUAUUAUUAACUUUUAAUCAUUUCACUUCUAUGUUUCUUUUGCUUUCUUAUUAACUUUUAAUUAUUUCAUUUUUAAGUAAGUAUUAUUUUGAUAGAGGAUAAUUUUUGCACAGGUUAAUAAUUGUUAAUAUCAUACAUAUAACAUAUGAAAAAAAUGGUUAUAAUAAGCACUUAUACUUUUUUAUAAGAACUAAUAUGGAAUUUCCCCCAUAUGAUCAUUUUGUAAGUAGCAAUCAUUCUAAUCUAACAAAAUUUUUAGUUAUUUUUCCUUUUCAACUUUUCAUUGCCACUGCCACCUGCUUUAAAGAAUCUGUCCCAAGUACUCUUUAUUAGUUCAUAAUCCCAGAGAACUCAAUAGGCUUUAGUCAAGCCCUCAUGAUGCUCUGUUACUUUUGUUUCAGAAUCUAUAUAUAAACAAAAGAAAUGCAUAUAAGAAUCUGUACAUAUUAUAGAUUUCCCUUAAGCAUACAUAUUGUUCAUGAGAUCUCCUUAUUACCUUACUUUUUUUUGUCAUAAUCCUCUCCAAAUCAUAUUUUAAGAGCUACAAAGUAUAGUUUUAUAUUCAUCACUCUCUUAUAGAAUUUAGUUUAAAUUUCUAUCAAAGUAUUUUAAAUAACAAUAAAAAUAACUUCAUAAAACUUUCCCCCUUAAAA